rnacentral:rRNA from 1 species
AACCAAGAUGGUUAAGUUAUAUCUUUAUGGUAAAAAGACAGUUAAAUAGUCUAUAUAAGUCUCAUUAAGAUCUAUAUAAGGGUAAAAUCUGAGUAUAGACCUGAAAUUUAGUAGUGACUAAAAAAUUGAAGCUGUGAUAGUUCUGGGAGAGACUGGGAUUAGAUACCCCAUUAUUCUUAACUGUAAACACGAUGUAGAUUUACCGGAGUACUACGAACUAUAAUAGUUUAAAACUCAAAGAGCUUGGCGGUGUUUUAGACCUCUCAGGGGAACCUGUCUCAUAACCGACAAUCCACGAUAUAUCUAACCUUUUUUUGCUCUACAGUUUGUAUACCGUCGUCGUCAGGUAACUUUUAAAAAUUUAGAAGUUAGCAAACAAAUUUAAUAAAUUUAAACGUCAGAUCGAGGUGCAGCCGAUAUAGAGGUGAGGAUGGGUUACAAUUAUAAAAUUAUAAUUACGAAUUGUUUAUUUAAAUUUAAUAAACUUGAAGGAGGACUUGAAAGUAAACUGAAUUACAAAAAUAUUUUGAAUAAGGCUCUGAAACGUGC